AUUGAACGCUGGCGGCAGGCCUAACACAUGCAAGUCGAACGAGUGGCGGACGGGUGAGUAAUGUCUGGGAAACUGCCUGAUGGAGGGGGAUAACUACUGGAAACGGUAGCUAAUACCGCAUACCAUCGGAUGUGCCCAGUUGGGAUUAGCUAGUCGGUGGGGUAAAGGCUCACCUAGGCGCCGAUCCCUAGCUGGUGUGAGAGGAUGACCAGCCAGACUGGAAAUGAGACACGGUCCAGACUCCUACGGGAGGCAGCAGUGGGGAAUAUUGCACAAUGGGCGCAAGCCUGAUGCAGCCAUGCCGCGUGUAUGAAGAAGGCCUUCGGGUUGUAAAGGACUUUCAGCGGGGAGGCGUUACCCGCAGAAGAAGCACCGGCUAACUCCGUGCCAGCAGCCGCGGUAAUUC
rnacentral:rRNA from 1 species